rnacentral:rRNA from 1 species
GGAAAAGCUCAAAUUUAAAAUCUGGCGGUCUUUGGCCGUUCCGAGUUGUAAUUUAGAGAAGCGUCUUCCGCGCUGGACCAUGCACAAGUCUCCUGGAAUGGAGCGUCAUAGAGGGUGAGAAUCCCGUCUUUGGCAUGGACUCCCGGUGCUUCAUGUGAUGCGCUCUCGAAGAGUCGAGUUGUUUGGGAAUGCAGCUCAAAAUGGGUGGUGAACUCCAUCUAAAGCUAAAUAUUGGCGAGAGACCGAUAGCGAACAAGUACCGUGAGGGAAAGAUGAAAAGCACUUUGGAAAGAGAGUGAAACAGUACGUGAAAUUGUUGAAAGGGAAACGCUUGAAGUCAGUCGCGUCGACCAAGACUCAGCCUUGCCUCGGCUUGGUGUUCUUCUUGGCUUGACGGGCCAGCAUCAAUUUCGUCCGUCGGAUAAUGGCGAGGGAAAGGUGGCACCCUUACGGGUGUGUUAUAGUCUCUUGUCGCAUGUGACGGGUGGGAUUGAGGAACUCAGCACGCGCCUUUAGGUGUCGGGGCUUCGGCCUACGUUACGUGCUUAGGAUGUUGGCGUAAUGGCUUUAAACGACCCGUCUUGAAACACGGACCAAGGAGUCUAACAUGCCCGCGAGUGUUCGGGUGGAAAACCCGUGCGCGUAAUGAAAGUAAUAGUUGGGACCUCUGU